UACGGUCACAUCACGUUAAAACACGCUUCCCGUACGAUCACCGAGGUUAAGCAACGCCUAGCCUGGUCAGUACAUAGAUGGGUGACCGCUCGGGAAUACCAGGUGUUGUAAG